rnacentral:lncRNA from 1 species
CACCCAAUUUAUUAAUAAUUACAAGUGGUGUCAUAAACAUUUAGAAACCUUCCAUCUCAGUUGGCCACUUUCCAUCUUAAUGGCAUAGUUUCUUUACCCCAUAUUAAACUGAUGGUUUCAUCUUUUGGUCUCAUGCCUCGUUCUCAGAACUAGGGAAAGGGAGAUAAACACCAUGCUCAGGUCGAGCCUUUUAAAGAUGUAUGUUUAGACGUUUAAUCCUCACGACACAGACGUUAUUAUCAGUUCCAUUUUCCAGUUGAGAAAACAUAAGGCCAAAGAGAUAAAAUAACCCACAAAAUUAGUAAGUGGUGGAAACGGGGUUCCAACCCUGUUCCGUCUGACCCUUAGCCCUGUGUUUUUUCCCCUAGGGAGUGGCCUUUUGUCUUCGUUCUGAUUUUGUGACAGAGAUGUGCAGUCCAUUAAGGAACGCAGCGUAGGAGGUAUAGAGAGGACCUUCAAGGCGACCCCUGCGACUUGUGAAUCUGAAAUGGUUUCCGUCGACUCUCCCAUCGGCAGCUCCUAUUCUGGUUUAAGGGCUGCCUUCUCAGAAGGUAAUGAGGCAGGAUUAUUCAAAUCCUCUCUUCUGGAUCUUUUGGAUUGCCAGCACCCCUCCCCAGCUCAAUGGAGCAGAAGCC